GGAUGUGAGGGCGAUCUGGCUAUGACAUCUGUCACCCCCUUAAUCUAGCUGAUCUGGCUACCUAGACAGGUGUCCCCUUCCUCCUUCACCACUCCACGUGCAUCCCUCCUGAAGUUGUGUGCUUGGUCAAAGAGGACAACCAUCUCUGAUAAAGGAGGACCGUUCUUCAGUCAAGGGUAUAUGAGUAGCUGCUCUCCCCUCCUAGAACCACCAAACAAGCUCUCAAGGUCUAGUUGUAGGAGAAUGUAGGGUACAAGCUUCCAAAACUCUAGACACAUCCACAUGAGGUGUUGGCAUGUGGCAGUCUGCCUUUCAAU
rnacentral:snRNA from 1 species